GUUCAGACAGUGCCUCCGCCUCCUUCAUCUCCGCCGCUAGCUCGGACUCAUGAUUCCUAUAUGCCCAGUAGUUUCAUUUACCUAUGUACCCAGCCGCCUGGGAGAAGAUGCUAAAAUGGCUACCGGCAACUACUUUGGAUUCACCCAUAGCGGGGCUGCUGCUCAAUAUAGAUUGUCUCCUCCAUCUUGCUGGGUGAGGGAGGAGUGAGUAAAAGGCUGCAUAGUACUUCACUGCCUGCUGGCUUAAACCACAACAGUGGCUCACAUAGGUCUGCAUUAGCAACAUAAGGAUGGAUUAUUUCUGGUUCGGUGGGUUUGUGACACCUCAGGCCUUCAAGGAAUAGAUGCAACAUAUAGAUGGGCUUGGGAUUGAGGGAGGGGUGGACGCUACUGCACACACUACCUAUGAAUGUGGAAUGUGCUGCAAUUGAGUAAGCCAAAGGGAUAAAGCCCAUUUGGUAUGGAGGUCAGUGGCUGAAAUAUAAAUAUAUAGAUAUCUAGCAGGUUGAUUAUCUCAACAUUGCCACAAACUUGCCGUGGCAAGCACCAUGCACUUACAGUGGCAGAAGCAACCACCAGAUGGCUGGAAAGCUAUCCCAUGUCACUACCUAGGAUGCUAUCCUGGGCCUUGAAAAGCAAGUCUUAUGGUGACAUGGUGACCCAGAAAGAACUGAGUCAGAUAACGGGACUCAUUUCCAAAACAACCUCAUAAGCAUGUGGGACCUGAGUGUGAUGUAAAUUAUAUGGAAUAAGGAGUGGAUAUUGUCCUGGUUACAACUGAGACAGAGUUGAUUUUUUACUUCAUAGUAUCUGGUAUGAUGCUGCGUUUUGGCUUUAGGAGAAAAACAACAUUGAUAUCAGCUCACAUCUA